UUUUGGAUGAUGUGACGAGAUCAAAGGGGGGGCUAAUUUUAUGAAAAGUAUUAAAAAUCAAAAUGAAAUUGUAGUUAUGGUAAGGUAGAAAUGGUUUCGUCUUGAAAAAAGUUCAAGCCCCAAGC